UACAGAGGUCUCCAGCGUUGUUCGGAUUCAUUGGGCGUAAAGGGUGCGUAGGCGGUGCGGCAAGUCUGGUGUGAAAUCCCGGGGCUCAACCCCGGAACUGCACUGGAUACUGCUUUACUAGAGUACUGGAGAGGGAACUGGAAUUUACGGUGUAGCAGUGAAAUGCGUAGAUAUCGUAAGGAAGACCAGCGGCGAAGGCGAGUUCCUGGACAGUUACUGACGCUGAGGCACGAAGGCCAGGGGAGCAAACGGG
rnacentral:rRNA from 1 species